UGGGGAAUAUUGGACAAUGGGCGCAAGCCUGAUCCAGCCAUGCCGCGUGGAUGAUGAAGGCCCUAGGGUUGUAAAGUCCUUUUAACGGGGAAGAUAAUGACGGUACCCGUAGAAUAAGCCCCGGCUAACUUCGUGCCAGCAGCCGCGGUAAUACGAAGGGGGCUAGCGUUGCUCGGAAUUACUGGGCGUAAAGCGCACGUAGGCGGACCGAUAAGUCGGGGGUGAAAUCCUGGAGCUCAACUCCAGAACUGCCUUCGAAACUGCCGGUCUUGAGUUCGGGAGAGGUGAGUGGAACUGCGAGUGUAGAGGUGAAAUUCGUAGAUAUUCGCAAGAACACCAGUGGCGAAGGCGGCUCACUGGCCCGAUACUGACGCUGAGGUGCGAAAGCGUGGGGAGCAAACAGG
rnacentral:rRNA from 1 species